GACGAACGCUGGCGGCGUGCCUAACACAUGCAAGUCGAACGCUGAAGCUCAGCUUUUGUUGGGUGGAUGAGUGGCGAACGGGUGAGUAACACGUGAGUAACCUGCCCCCUUCUUUGGGAUAACGCCCGGAAACGGGUGCUAAUACUGGAUAUUCACUGGUCUUCGCAUGGGGGUUGGUGGAAAGGGUUUUUCUGGUGGGGGAUGGGCUCGCGGCCUAUCAGCUUGUUGGUGGGGUGAUGGCCUACCAAGGCUUUGACGGGUAGCCGGCCUGAGAGGGUGACCGGUCACAUUGGGACUGAGAUACGGCCCAGACUCCUACGGGAGGCAGCAGUGGGGAAUAUUGCACAAUGGGCGCAAGCCUGAUGCAGCGACGCCGCGUGAGGGAUGGAGGCCUUCGGGUUGUGAACCUCUUUCGCUCAUGGUCAAGCCGCAACAAUGGUUGUGGUGAGGGUAGUGGGUAAAGAAGCGCCGGCUAACUACGUG
rnacentral:rRNA from 1 species